CGUUUGAGGAACGAAUUAGACAGAAAUCAAUUUCUACUCGGUGUGAUAAUAAAUUACUUUUUCGGAAUUACAAGAUUUUCAUUCGAAUACCUGGUGUAUAUCACGUGGUUCUUUAGAACCGGUCUCGUUAGCAAGGCUAUAUAAGAGGUGAAUAGUGGUUUAAAUACCAGUUUAGGACGACACGUAGAGCACGAUAAAGUUUAAAUCUCAGAUACAGAACGAAGUGGCGUAGGGCGUGGUUCAUCGACAUGUUUAGCCAUUGUAGAUGAUAUGAAAUCACAGAAAAUAGAAUUGGAGAGAGAUUUGACAGUGUGGAAAGCGAGGUCAUCAAAGAAAAGCCAUCCUAGAUCUUGUUUUUAUAAGAUAAUUACAUGUUGGGGUUGGUAUCACGAUGAGUAUAAUGAAGAAGGUGAUUUUAAGAUCUCCAGAGAAGUACGGUAGAUUUUUUCUUUGCGUUUUAUGCCAAUUAAAAGUUAAAUUUCAUGCGGACUCCAUCACAAUGGAAAAGAGAAGCAUUUCAUAUUCUGAUUUGUAUUAUUGGUUAUAUUCUUCUUACGUUUAAUUCAAGCACCAUGAGGUAUUAAUCGGUGUACCAAUAAUGACAGAGUUUCAAAGAGGCACAUAUCCAAGGAAUUGAGAUGGGAUUCAAGAUGUUUCACAGGAAUGUGUAUUUUGUGCUAUUUUGAUAUUGGAUGAUGAAUAUACUUCUAUGUAUAACUGUGUCGAUUUGAUUUGAUAUAUUUGAAGUCUUCUUCCCUGGGACUUCACGAUAAAUCGUAUGGUAUGCGUUGAGUUUGACUUGAAACUAUACUCAAAAUUCAAGUGCAGCAAGCAUUUAUCGAUGUAUGGAUAGGAUGUGUGCAUAACAUCAAGACUUUUACAAUCAGACUCACAUGGUGAAUUGCGUUAUGGAUUUUCAAAAGACGGCGGUGUAUUUUUAUUUUUUAGGAUGGAUAUACAUGUAUUGAUAUUUUCCCGCGUUUCGCUAGUAUAGUGAGAAAAUGUUGUAUUAAUGACAAGAUAUUUAUACGCAUGUUGUGUGGAUUGGUCAGAGAGUGACCAAUAGAAAUUGAUUUUGAGAUGUAGUAGAGAACUGUUUUUUUUUAAGGUUGGUCACUUCUAGCCGCCGACUUAAGCGAGCUACAUCUAAAUUUUUUAAAUUUAUGUAUAAAGGGUAUAAGUGAAGAAAUUUAUAUACAUAUAUUUGAUUUUUUUUAGGGUUUUAUUGGUAGGUUGUGAGGUCCGUCGCAACAUUUUUUGCAUCCAGCGGCACUUGGCAACGGACACAGGUUUCUAGAGUUUUUUAAAAAUUAUUUUUAUCUCUAGUUUUUCCUGGCCGGCCCUGAUGCUUUUCAUGUUUAUCACAAAGAAUAUUUUAGAAUUAUAAUAGAUGCAGCAGUUUUGGGGGAUUCAUACACAAUGUCCUGUGCUCUAUAUAUGUAUAUUGAUGUACUGUUUAUAAAAUACAGCGUCCAGCGCACGCACCGCUGGCUGUCAUGCAUAGAAUGUUGUUGUUUGUUUGUAUAAAAGUAAUGGAGUGAAUACAUGUAUUUUUUGGUGAUUAUUUAAUUGUUUUCAAAACAUUUUAUUGGAAAAUUUCUGUAAAAUUUGAUAUAUUUAUUGUUUGAAAUAUUGAAUGACUUAUGAUUUAUAUGAAUUUUGUUGGAUUGAAUUUAAAAUCAAUGAUUUUAUACUUUCAUUUUCCCGUUCUUUGUAUUUAGAGCUACUGCGUGUCGUUGCUAUGUCCAAAUGGUGUGUUUGUUGUUUAUUGUACUUUCAUUUGAAAGUAAUGAAUGGAUUUAGAGUAGAAAUAUGAUUUCUUUCGUUUGAGGAACGAAUUAGACAGAAAUCAAUUUCUACUCGGUGUGAUAAUAAAUUACUUUUUCGGAAUUACAAGGUUUUCAUUCGAAUACCUGGUGUAUAUCACGUGGUUCUUUAGAACCGGUCUCGUUAGCAAGGCUAUAUAAGAGGUGAAUAGUGGUUUAAAUACCAGUUUAGGACGACACGUAGAGCACGAUAAAGUUUAAAAUUUUAUCAUGAUUUAUUCAAUCCAACAUAAACUUGUAUAUACAAAUUGAUUUUCAUAUUUAGCAUAUGUUAUGUACACUGCAAAAAUAAAGCUACUGCGUGUCGUUGCUAUGUCCAAAUGGUGUGUUUGUUGUUUAUUGUACUUUCAUUU